rnacentral:tRNA from 1 species
GCCCGGGUGGUGAAAUUGGUAGACACAAGAGACUUAAAAUCUCUCGCUCUUUUGGGCGUGCCGGUUCGAUUCCGGCCCCGGGCA